UGAGGAUUUCUAAGAUUUCUUAUAAUCUAUUAGUUGGAUUGGAGUGAAAAUCAUAUGUGCAGGUAAUAGAAUUAUUUUUCUAUGUAUGUAAUAAAUUUGAGAUCAAUCGAACAGUUCAAUAAGGAGAUAUUGAUGCUAAAAAUUCAACAUUCAGAUUGAAGAAGGAUGUUGGUCAACAUUUGAGCAAAUAUUAGGGUUGAUCUUCUUUUUGGUGAGUUUGAUCUUCUUCAAAAAAAUUAUGCUUGUAAUCAAUUUAAUU
rnacentral:lncRNA from 1 species